GACGAACGCUGGCGGCGCGCCUAACACAUGCAAGUCGAACGGAGCUGAGAGAAGCUUGCUUUUCUUAGCUUAGUGGCGAACGGGUGAGUAACGCGUGAGUAACCUGCCCUGGAGUGGGGGACAACAGUUGGAAACGACUGCUAAUACCGCAUAAGCCCACGAUCCGGCAUCGGGUUGGGGGAAAAGGUUUUAUUCGCUUCAGGAUGGACUCGCGUCCAAUUAGCUGUUUGGUGAGGUAACGGCCCACCAAGGCGACGAGUGGUAGCCGGACUGAGAGGUUGAACGGCCACAUUGGGACUGAGACACGGCCCAGACUCCUACGGGAGGGAGCAGUGGGGGAUAUUGCACGAUGGGGGAAACCCUGAUGCAGCGACGCCGCGUGGAGGAAGAAGGUUUUCGGAUUGUAAACUCCUGUCGUUAGGGACGAUAAUGACGGUACCUAACAAGAAAGCACCGGCUAACUACGUG
rnacentral:rRNA from 1 species